AGCCCGAGGGGGCGUGGCCAGGCGGGCGGGCGGCUUGAAAGGCGGUCAGCGGCUUCGCGUGGCUUGGGGUGUAACGGGAGUUAGCGGUGCUGGGGGUAUUGUCCGGGAGGAGAGGAGCCUCCGAGGGGCGGCAACGGAGGCCUUUGGCGGCUUUCCGGUAGCGGGAGAACCGUGGAAAGAUGAUUGAAAAUUUAAAGUUGUGCGCAUGCGCGGGGUGGAGCGUAGGCUCUUGGGGGCAGGCGGAGAGUCGGUUUUCCGGGACCUCGUGGCGCAACGGUAGCGCGUCUGACUCCAGAUCAGAAGGCUGCGUGUUCGAAUCACGUCGGGGUCACCGUGUUCCCCUCGGGGGUUCACUUUUUUUUCAUUCCAAGAGAGUGAUUUCUUUGCUCGGGUCUCACAGAGGGAACAAAGUCUGAGUCGUCGUAUGGAUAAAGCUUCGGAGUGAGUCAGAGUGCUGAAAUUGAGCUGCAUUGCUUCCCUUGCCCUGCUGUGAGCUGGCUGCACUGAGCAGAGGGAACAUCUGCCCUUCAGGAUGACUUUCUAUGCCCUCUUCUCUGCCUAUCUAUGCAUUAACGUGAGCAAGUAUCCAUCACUGCUGUGGCUUCCUCCCGAAACCUUCAGCCCAGGGGUCUCAACCCCAACAUUCCCUCUGCAUGAGCUUCCCCCCUGCAUUCACUCACAUCAUUCCUCCAAUGCAACCUCUCAGUGUUGACCUCCAGUGAUGCUUCGGAUGGUUUCAACUUCUGUUGAAGCGUUUCCCUUUGGAAAAGUUUCUUUCCCAUCCACUUCUCCGUUGGUUGCCAUGGGGAGCAGCGAUGUCACAGUAGAGAAGGGUGCACUCCAUGAACAGCAGCUUCCUGCUGGCCAUGUGAACAGCUCUGCAGAUGGGAGAGAUGUCCAAGACCAAAUCCAAUGCACUGAUAAGAUGUCAGAAGGACACUGAAGCUGAGCACAACCCAGAGGAACUCAAUGUGCAAAACAGAAGUACUGAAGUAACGUUUGAAACAAAGGACUUCAAAGUGACAGCAGGCUGCGUUGCUGCCAGCAGUGAGUCGAGUGGAACAUCUAGUGAUGAACAGAAUGAAGACGACCAGGAUGAAACAUGCUUUGCUGUUUCUCUGUCUCCCAAAGGAAUCAGGACCAGCAGGAAAAGGCCAAAGAUAAAGAGCAAGUGGUCACCGGUGCAGAAGAAAAUGAGACUAGUGGAAGUGGAAGAGGAGCCAUUGCUACCAAUAAAGGCAGGGGCUGGAG
rnacentral:tRNA from 1 species